GAUUCAUGAUAACUCCUCGAAUCGCAUGGCCUUGCGCCGGCGAUGGUUCAUUCAAAUUUCUUCCCUAUCAACUUUCGAUGUUUGGGUAUUGGCCAAACAUGGUUGCAACGGGUAACGGAGGGUUAGGGCUCGACCCCGGAGAAGGAGCCUGAGAAACGGCUACUACAUCCAAGGAAGGCAGCAGGCGCGCAAAUUACCCAAUCCCGACUCGGGGAGGUAGUGACAAUAAAUACUGAUACAGGGCUCUUUUGGGUCUUGUAAUUGGAAUGAGUACAAUUUAAAUCCCUUAACGAGGAACAAUUGGAGGGCAAGUCUGGUGCCAGCAGCCGCGGUAAUUCCAGCUCCAAUAGCGUAUAUUAAAGUUGUUGUGGUUAAAAAGCUCGUAGUUGAACCUUGGGCCUGGCUGGCCGGUCCGCCUCACCGCGUGUACUGGUCCGGCCGGGCCUUUCCCUCUGUGGAACCCCAUGCCCUUCACUGGGUGUGGCGGGGAACCAGGACUUUUAC
rnacentral:rRNA from 1 species